AUCGCUUCUCGGCCUUUUGGCUAAGAUCAAGAGUAGUAUGCGUUCUUAUCAGUUUAAUAUCUGAUAUGUCAUCUGUCUGAGGACUCUAUAUUAAAUGGAUUUUGGGGGCAUAUAAUUACAGGCUUGGAAGCAGGGUAAGGCAUUUUUUUUAAAAAAAAAUCCAGCUUGGCCUCCCAG
rnacentral:snRNA from 1 species